ensembl:lncRNA
AUGGUCUCUUGGGGCUCUUUUCACAUUGACACCCUGUGUUUCUGUGAGCUGAAUUCUGGAUGGAGAACCAGCUAUGAACUCUCUGGUGGGGGCCAAGGACCACACAGGGGAGAAACCAGGACAUCAUCAUUAGAGGAGAUUGGCCCUUUCUGGAACUCACCAAAGGAGAACAAGCAAGAAGGAAUCUGCAUCCUCCCUGCCUCCAGAAAGGGCAUGCUCUGGCCAGCCAGGCAGGCUAAUUCUAGAAGCUUAACUGAUGCCCUGAGAAAAGGAUUUUCAUUGCCCUCCCCAGCACAAGCUGAUCCACAAACCCAGGCAUUCAGAUACCUCCAGUUUUGGACAUUGGGCCUAGAAGAAAGCUUGAUUUGAAUGUUGUUCCAAGCCCUGGAAAAACAAGACUGCCUGAUAGGAAUGAGCCAAACUAAGGGGUUUCCUCGCUUUGAGCAGAAACAACCAGAAUGGGCAGGACUCCAACCACAAGCUCUCAUCCUCUGUCCCCAAAGUCAUCCUUAAAAUUCCCUUCUGCAGGGGUGCCUGGAUUAAGCGUCCGACUCUUGAUUUCAGCUCAGGUCAUGAUCUCAGGGUCAUGAGACUGAGCCCCAAGUUGGGCUCUGUGAUCAGUGCAGAGUCCGCUUGUCCCUCUCCCUUGGCUCUUCCCCGCCUCCCCCCCCCAGUCACAUGCUUGUGGCCCUCUCUCUCUCCCUCCUACACUGCUCCUUGGCUCCUGGUUGGGAGCCUUUAAUCUCCCAUUCUCCCGAUCUGUCUGAACCCUUCGUCCUUAAGCCACCCACCUCCCAGUUCUGAGCCCCACCGGGAGCACACACUGCCCUGGGCCCCUCCUAGAUUACUGAAGUAACCUAGAGCUGUGUCUGAGUAGAGUCCGAGCUGCCUCCUGUCUUUGCUAGAUGUGUCGUGGGGUCCCACCAUCCCAGUCAUGUGUGCAUGCUUCUCUGUCCUUGGGGGCUAGUUUUCCAUUCGCCUCUGAGUGGGCACAAGGCAUGUGACUAUGAUCCACUGGGUGGAGGGUGGCAGGGAGGGGGAGAUGAGCUCCUCAAGGGCAGUCCAUGCCCCAGUGUGUGCAGAGGUGGAGAGCUGCACCAGGUAACAUAGCAGCCCCAGAGGGCGGUGGGUACUUUCUAUUAUAUCUCAGUCCCUCUAUCCCUCCUUCAAAUCCUGCGUUCUUCCUCCCUUUGCCAAGUCUGCAGAGUAGAGCCACACAGGGGCAAGGUGAGGUGGGGAGACCAAUACUGGACAAUGUUGGGUCCACUGGGCUGGGAGGGAGCAGAGUGCAGGCAGUGUUUUCUCUGGGCAUCCCCAGCCCCUCCUCCCCAUGGGCAGGUAGAGGUGAUGCCCUGGUGGAAGGAAGUGGAAGGCCCCCAGAGUGUUGUCAGGCCUGAGCCAGGGCUCCAAAGUCUUCCUCUGUGGUGGCCACAUCCAUCCGAUCUCCUGGAAUUCCCCGGCACCCCAGGCUGAGUUUCAGAGUCCUCCUCUUUCUCGUAGUUCGGGAAGACAAGCACAAGGCCCUUUUCUUUAAGGACUUACAGCUGAUCCUCUUUACUGGCAGGCAAGUUACCUAUGCACACAAAGCCUGGCUCUGGUUGGGACCCCUUCAGAUCUGAACCUCCCUCUUUUACGCUCAUGUAGAGUCCCUCAAGGCCCCUUCUCCCCCCCUAGCUUUCAAGGACCCUCUCCCACUUAGGCCCACUCUGCGGACGUGCAAACCGGGACAGGCUCUCUUUGUC